rnacentral:lncRNA from 1 species
CUGCGUGACUUGUCCGAGUCCCAGCCCAGCCAGCCUUUGGGAUCAAGCGCUAGUGCUCAGCGGCUGGGGUCACAGCGCCAGGGGUGACUUGGGAGGCGAAGUUUCCCGAAGUAACCAUCGGUCCUCCCUGAACCAGUCCUCACGUAGGAGCAACCUAAAUAAAAAACCAUGCUUGAGGUACAGACGCCGAUUCAAACCCGGUUCCCGAGCCUUGGGGGUUCCAGCUCAAGGGCAUCCCUAGACCCCCUCCUAGGACUGUGCCCGGAACUGGAUCUCUGGCCUGGUCUCAGAUCUUGCAGGCUUCACAGGGAGAAGCAGGUUCGGGAGGCACCGCCUUGGGAAGACACCAAGACUGCAGUGUACGGGGGCCACGAAAUCAAGGCAGGAACCCGAAACUGGGAAUUGAAUCAGAAACCACAAAAGAACUGCGCUUACAGGCUUGCUCUCGGUGGUUGUGCAGCCUGCUUUCAAAGACGGGCGGUUUCGGAUUGGCCUGAGAAAAAGUUCCAGAAAGACUAGAAGCUGUGAAGGAUUGGGCUGGUUGGAAAGCAGCUCUGUGUCCCCGGGAGUCUUCAAGCCUGGGCUAAAACAACUUGGAUGUGGGCAGGGACCUGGGAGCUGCGGGUUUGUUCCAGUGAGGGGCAGGCGGUUGUGCCUCCAACCAGGCUGGCAAGCUGGUCUUUACACCGCCACCCACUUCCAGUACCACCACUACCCUCUGCCAUAGACUCCCCCAUUCACUUUAGUCCGGAGUCUGUAGAGGGAGAACACAGAAAAGGCCCGGUUCCCCGCCCGCGCGUCGCUUCCUUUCCCGCUCCCUCUGCAGCACUUAAAAUGUAAAUGCACAUCGUGAUUAGCCGCGGGGUCGCUAAUUACAGCUGAAGCCAUUCAUUACACUGUCAGCUUGCUCCGUCGCCCGCCGGCUGUGCGCUCCCUCCCGGCCUGGGGAGGGGGGAGCGGUGGGGGUGUGUGGCGGGCGGUGGUGGAAGGAUGAGGGGACUGCGCGUUGCCGGGAAGCCGAAGGCCGGGAACCAGCAGAGGGGCGGUGAGCUGAGGAAAUCGGUUGGACCGUGAAGAAACCGUGGUGUUAGAGAGGGGGGAGAAACGCGGGAGGCUGGAAGGAAGCGAGGAUAAAGGGGAAAGGGUAGUGUGAAAGAAGAAACCAGGUUGGGAAGAAGGCCAAAGGAGAAAGCGUGAUAAAUGGGUAGGAGCCUUCGGAAGGGGACAGAUGACAGAGGGAGGGCAGAGAAGGUUCAACUUGUGGAAAGUGGGUAAAUAAAGGCACUAUCUUUGCUGCA